rnacentral:rRNA from 1 species
UACGUAGGGACCAAGCGUUGUUCGGAUUUACUGGGCGUAAAGGGCGCGUAGGCGGCAUGACAAGUCACUUGUGAAAUCUCUGGGCUUAACCCAGAACGGCCAAGUGAUACUGUCGCGCUAGAGUGCAGAAGGGGCAACUGGAAUUCUCGGUGUAGCGGUGAAAUGCGUAGAUAUCGAGAGGAACACCUGCGGCGAAGGCGGGUUGCUGGGCUGACACUGACGCUGAAGCGCGAAAGCUAGGGGAGCGAACGGG